GUUCGAUCAGGCACUGGUAGGGGAGUCGCGACUAGACGCGUUACUGUGGUUCACAUUUUGAGUGCUUGCAAGGAAUCCGUCACUGGCGGUGGUGAAUAGGAACAUGGCAGCCCUAGCGUUUUGGUUUAAGUUGCAUGGGUGGGACAACCUCACAAAGAAUUUCGUGAUUCACCAGGCGCUUAAGGGGUACUGAAAGGGUCGCCAGGUGCCCAAUGCUCGUAGGACGGUGU